UCAUCAGGCAACAGUUUAUAAUCUCCAGUGGAUUCUUCGACUAGGGUUUCAGUCCUUAUACAUACCUAUAAUAUAUAGCUUACACUGAAUGUUAGAAACUAAGUGGAAUUUUUAUACGAGAUAGCUUGGGGGUUUAAUCUUCGUUUCUAUUGUAAUAAUGGUGAAAAAUGAGAGCGGCCAAGAGAAGCCUUUGGAUAUAUUUUGAUGAUUGAAUAGGAUGAACGGACGGCGAAGCAUACCUGCGAGCAAUAAAGUUACAGCUGAUCUCAUUGCCGUUAAACUUUAUCUGUUUGCUGUAGUGAAAUGAAAACAAGCUCUGUUUCUUUUUGUUUUUUUUAGCACCAUUUUUGUGCUUUAAGUGAUAUUGAUUGGUGAUGUGUUUGCAGAUCAAAAUCCUUGCUCAAUUAGAAGCUGCAUUUGCACUUCUUUCUGCUACAGCUUCUGAGCCUUUAAUGGUCGGUGGCUUUGAGGAGCCUCGUGGUAUUGGAGUUGAUGUGUCCAUGGAAGACAUAGAAGAUCAUAGUUAAUCAUGUAUUUGAAGGGAACAGGUCCAAGAUUUUGGAGCUGCUGUACCAAACAAAUGGUAUGCAUUUCCUAUAAAGUCUACAGAAGUAAUACUUGGCGAAGAUAAAGAAACUAUUAUUGAGUUCCAGGCUGCAUUCCCAAAAAUGUGCCAUUGGGAUUUAAUAAUAUUCAAGCCAAAGGUUGCAUUCCCAAAAAUGUGUGUAUAAUGUUUAAGGGUAUAGUUAAUUUAUUUUGCGAUGAUGUAAUCCUUCUAAGCUUAUAGUUCUGGCAAUACUGUUCCAAAGGAGUUCUCCAUUGGGAUGCAGAACAAUCACCUGGAAUUAAUCCACUUAAAAUUGAAGUGAGAUUGUUUAACAAAUUGUUCCUC